UCUAAUAUGGCAGAUUAGUGCAAUGAAUUUAAGCUUCAUAAAUAAAGAUAUUAUCUUUUAUUAGAA
rnacentral:tRNA from 1 species